UACGAAGGGGGGCUAGCGUUGCUCGGAAUGACUGGGCGUAAAGCGCACGUAGGCGGUUCGUUAAGUCGGAUGUGAAAGCCCUCGGCUCAACUGAGGAAGUGCACCCGAAACUGGCGAGCUUGAGUACGAAAGAGGAUCGCGGAAUUCCCGGUGUAGAGGUGAAAUUCGUAGAUAUCGGGAGGAACACCGGUGGCGAAGGCGGCGAUCUGGGUCGAUACUGACGCUGAGGUGCGAAAGCGUGGGGAGCAAACAGG
rnacentral:rRNA from 1 species